rnacentral:rRNA from 1 species
UGGGGAAUAUUGCACAAUGGGCGCAAGCCUGAUGCAGCCAUGCCGCGUGUAUGAAGAAGGCCUUCGGGUUGUAAAGUACUCUCAGCGGGGAGGAAGGGAGUAAAGUUAAUACCUUUGCUCAUUGACGUUACCCGCAGAAGAAGCACCGGCUAACCCCGUGCCAGCAGCCGCGGUAAUACGGAGGGUGCAAGCGUUAAUCGGAAUUACUGGGCGUAAAGCGCACGCAGGCGGUUUGUUAAGUCAGAUGUGAAAUCCCCGGGCUCAACCUGGGAACUGCAUCUGAUACUGGCAAGCUUGAGUCUCGUAGAGGGGGGUAGAAUUCCAGGUGUAGCGGUGAAAUGCGUAAAGAUCUGGAGGAAUACCGGUGGCGAAGGCGGCCCCCUGGACGAAGACUGACGCUCAGGUGCGAAAGCGUGGGGAGCAAACAGG